rfam:Anopheles quadriannulatus strain QTAD4_A unplaced genomic scaffold supercont1.109, whole genome shotgun sequence.
AACGGUUGGCAGCCAGUCAAUGGGAUAGGAUCUAAAUCCUCUCUGCUGGAUAGAUACUCUUGUUAACCUCUAUCCCUCGUUCCAGUUCGUACACAGUAAUAACAUGUAUCAUCACAUAUUAAAACUUGGGUACACGGAGUUGUUCCAACUUCUCGGGCGGACGAGUGUACAUGGCGUAUCAGGAGGGA